AUUGAACGCUGGCGGCAGGCCUAACACAUGCAAGUCGAGCGAGCGGCGGACGGGUGAGUAAUGUAUGGGGACUGCCCGAUAGAGGGGGAUAACUACUGAAACCUGUGACUAAUACCGCAUACUAUCGGAUAACCCAUAUGGGAUUAGCUAGUAGGUGGGGUAAAGGCUCACCAAGGCGACGAUCCCUAGCUGGGCUGAGAGGAUGAUCAGCCACACUGGGACUGAGACACGGCCCAGACUCCUACGGAGGCAGCAGUGGGGAAUCUUGGACAAUGGGCGCAAGCCUGAUGCAGCCAUGCCGCGUGUAUGAAGAAGGCCUUAGGGUUGUAAAGUACUUUCAUCGGGGAGGCGUUACCCGAAGAAGAAGCACCGGCUAACUCCGUGCCAGCAGCCGCGGUAAUUC
rnacentral:rRNA from 1 species